CUUCUCGUGGCGUAGCGGCAACGCGCCUGUCUAGUGAGUAGGAGUCGUGAGUUCGAGUCUCACCGAGAAGA
rnacentral:tRNA from 1 species